rnacentral:rRNA from 1 species
CAGUCGCGCGGAAUACGAAGGGUGCAAGCGUUACUCGGAAUUACUGGGCGUAAAGCGUGCGUAGGUGGUGGUUUAAGUCCGUUGUGAAAGCCCUGGGCUCAACCUGGGAAUUGCAGUGGAUACUGGGUCACUAGAGUGUGGUAGAGGAUAGUGGAAUUUCCGGUGUAGCAGUGAAAUGCGUAGAGAUCGGAAGGAACAUCUGUGGCGAAGGCGACUAUCUGGGCCAACACUGACACUGAGGCACGAAAGCGUGGGGAGCAAACAGGAUUAGAGACCCGCGUAGUCCCUGUCUCUUAUACAC